AACGAACGUUGGCGGCGUGGAUUAGGCAUGCAAGUCGAGCGAGAAGUUUUCCUUCGGGAAAACGGAAAGCGGCGAACGGGGUAGUAAUGUGUAGGUGACGUGCCCUUGGGGCCGGGAUAGCCACGGGAAACUGUGGGUAAUACCGGAUAACCUCCCCGACCUUGAACGGAUGGGGAGCAAUGGGUGUGAUUCCACCCAUGGAGUGGCCUACAUGGUAUUAGCUAGUUGGUGAGGUAAUGGCUCACCAAGGCGGAGAUGCCUAGGGGGUGUGAGAGCAUGGCCCCCACCACUGGGACUGAGAUACUGCCCAGACACCUACGGGUGGCUGCAGUCGAGAAUCUUCGGCAAUGGACGCAAGUCUGACCGAGCGACGCCGCGUGCGGGAUGAAGGCCUUCGGGUUGUAAACCGCUGUCAGAGGGGAUGAAAUGCGUAGAGGCUAUCCUUUACGCUUGACAGAGCCUCAGAGGAAGCACGGGCUAAGUACGUGCCAGCAGCCGCAGUAAUAC
rnacentral:rRNA from 1 species